GACGAACGCUGGCGGCGUGCUUAACACAUGCAAGUCGAACGGAAAGGCCCCUUUGGGGGUACUCGAGUGGCGAACGGGUGAGUAACACGUGAGUAACCUGCCCUUGACUUCGGGAUAACUUCAGGAAACUGGGGCUAAUACCGGAUAGGAAUCCUUGCUGCAUGGUGGGGGUUGGAAAGCUUCGGCGGUUUUGGAUGGACUCGCGGCUUAUCAGCUUGUUGGUGGGGUAGUGGCUUACCAAGGCUUUGACGGGUAGCCGGCCUGAGAGGGCGACCGGCCACAUUGGGACUGAGAUACGGCCCAGACUCCUACGGGAGGCAGCAGUGGGGAAUAUUGCACAAUGGGCGGAAGCCUGAUGCAGCAACGCCGCGUGCGGGAUGACGGCCUUCGGGCUGUAAACCGCUUUCAGCAGGGGCGAAGCUUGUGGUGACGGUACCUGCAGAAGAAGCACCGGCUAACUACGUG
rnacentral:rRNA from 1 species